rnacentral:tRNA from 1 species
CGGGAUGUAGCGCAGUUCGGUCAGCGCGUUCGGUUCGGGACCGAAAGGUCGGAGGUUCAAAUCCUCUCAUCCCGACCA